AGUACUCUGGAAGGCUGAGUCACGUGGAGUUUUCAACUGCUUGCAAGGGAAGAAACUCCAUUUGAAGCUGCUAAGUCCAAGAAAUACACAACAUAUCAAUAGUAAUAAUAAUAAUAAACAUGUAUUAUUAGGGUUAAUAUAGUUUUCAUUAGCCCCUGCUCUUCAUAUAAGAUUUUACCUAGUGUUCAGGAUUUCCCCUAAUGUACACGCACGAGAAACAAUUUAACUAGGCCUACAAAUUCAAUUUAUAUGAUUUUGAUUGUCGUAUUAUUUGUCUUUCAGAAAAAGCUAUAUAAUGUACUCGGUAGCACUUAGAACAAAACCGUUUCGGUAAAUGUUUAGUUUCAGUGGGUCCACCUUAAAAAGACAGUAAUGAAAAUAGAGGGAGUGUUUCGAGGAGAGACGUCACUGGGUUCGCCAUGCGUUAGGAAAAGUAUGUUUGGUUUUUUUUUUUUAUAAUGGGCGUGUCAUGCACCUUUCACUAUAAGAAUAGUGGUAAUUCAACACAACAGACAGUAUCAGUGAUGCUUACGGCAAGAACUCAAUAGGAUCGGGAUAGGAAAAUGACCUCAGAACUAGAGUGUGGUAUUUGUUACCGGAGCUACAACACGGGUCGUCGUCUUCCCAGAGAGCUGGGAUGCCGGCAUACUUUCUGCGAGAGCUGCCUGUCGGCGAUAGUCCGGCAAUCGGCGUGUCCGGCAGAGGCUUGUACGAUUAUCUGCCCGCUAUGCCGCCACUCCACCCCCAUUUCCGCAAGCGGCGAUUUGCGACAGGCGCUCCGGGUGGACGAAGGGCUUCUCGAUCAGACUCUGGCAGCUGGGUUUCUGGAAGACGAAAGUGACAGUGACAGCGAUGGAAAACCCGAGCCCGACCUGUUCAGCCCAAAUCCGGCCUCGGAUCCGGCUCCCAGGACCAGAAAAGGCAAGAUCUGGCGCUCUCUAAGGCGGAUAUAUGGAAGAUUUGUCAGUGAUACCCGCCAGACUUCACCAGAGCAUAGACACCAGUGCAUGACCAACGAAGAAAUGAAGGACAUUGCGUUGAUGUCGUGUUAUAUGAUAUAAUAACCGAAGAUCCCGCUUCUGAUCUGAAAUGAAGAAGUUGUGGGACCUUGACUGUCAAAUAAAGACCAAUGACGUUUUUUGCUACUUGGUAUUGACCAAGGGGAAAAAAACAAUGUUUAACAGUAUUAAACCACUUGUGAACCUGUUUAUAUAAUUAUCUGACGAAACUAUUUCACACUAUGCCUAUUUAUUGAUAAAGGCCCCACCCGUCUCUGAAUUGGAGACUAUGAAAUGAUAACAGGAUAUGUGUAAAAAUACUGUGAUUUUAUGUUUUGUAUUCCCACUUUGUUACAUUGUUUCAAUCCUUGGCAUUCUUUGUAUAAUUGAUUUAAUCGUUAUUUAUUAGGCCUGUAUUAUCCAGAAAUAUUCACGUUUCUGUAAUAAAAUAAAAUACAUUUUACAAUUA